rnacentral:miRNA from 1 species
GCGGUUGCCCUCGCACGACGGACG